GACGAACGCUGGCGGCGUGCCUAAUACGUGCAAGUCGAGCGGACAGAAGGGAGCUUGCUCCCGGAAGUUAGCGGCGGACGGGUGAGUAACACGUGGGCAACCUACCCUGUAGAUCGGGAUAACAUCGAGAAAUCGGUGCUAAUACCGGAUAAUCAUUUGAAGUGCAUGCUUCGAAUGUAAAAGAUGGCUCCGGCUAUCACUACGGGAUGGGCCCGCGGCGCAUUAGCUAGUUGGUAAGGUAAUGGCUUACCAAGGCAACGAUGCGUAGCCGACCUGAGAGGGUGAUCGGCAACACUGGGACUGAGACACGGCCCAGACUCCUACGGGAGGCAGCAGUAGGGAAUCUUCCGCGAUGGACGAAAGUCUGACGGAGCAACGCCGCGUGAGUGAUGAAGGUUUUCGGAUCGUAAAGCUCUGUUGUUAGGGAAGAACAAGUGCCGUUUGAAUAAGGCGGCACCUUGACGGUACCUAACCAGAAAGCCACGGCUAACUACGUGCCAGCCGCCGCGGUAAAAC
rnacentral:rRNA from 1 species